rnacentral:rRNA from 1 species
UACAGAGGGUGCGAGCGUUAUCCGGAAUCACUGGGCGUAAAGGGCGCGUAGGCGGCCUGAUAAGUAGGGGGUGAAAUCCUGUGGCUUAACUGCAGGGCUGCCUCCUAGACUGUUAGGCUCGAGCACGGUAGAGGCAGAUGGAAUUCCCGGUGUAGCGGUGGAAUGCGUAGAGAUCGGGAAGAACAUCGGUGGCGAAGGCGGUCUGCUGGGCCGUUGCUGACGCUGAGGCGCGACAGCGUGGGGAGCAAACAGG